GACGAACGCUGGCGGCGUGCUUAACACAUGCAAGUCGAGCGGUAAGGCCCGUUUCGGGGGUACACGAGCGGCGAACGGGUGAGUAACACGUGGGUGACCUGCCCUCAGCUCUGGGAUAAGCCUGGGAAACUGGGUCUAAUACCGGAUAUGACUCCAUGACGCAUGUUGUGGGGUGGAAAGCCUUGUGCGGCUGAGGAUGGGCCCGCGGCCUAUCAGCUUGUUGGUGGGGUGAUGGCCUACCAAGGCGACGACGGGUAGCCGGCCUGAGAGGGCGACCGGCCACACUGGGACUGAGACACGGCCCAGACUCCUACGGGAGGCAGCAGUGGGGAAUCUUGCGCAAUGGGCGAAAGCCUGACGCAGCGACGCCGCGUGAGGGAUGACGGCCU
rnacentral:rRNA from 1 species